GAACGCUCACACAGCCAGGCCCCGCCGCCGCCGCCGCCCAGCGCACACAGCAGGCCCCGCUGCAGGCCCCUCCCCUCGUGCCUCGCUGCCCUCACCCGGACUCCACGAGCCACUCUAGCUCGGUAGAGCCCAGGUUUCUCGCACAAACUGCUUCCUCGGUGCCGGCCAAAGCUCAGACCCGACUAGGUCACGUUACGUCGCGCUCCUCUCGGACUCCCGCUCAGCCUCUCCGCACCCAGACUGACCACGACGUGAGGAAGUAGCCCCGCGCACCCACAAGUCCCGCCCUCGUGGCCUUUAUCCCGGAACGUGGCUUCUUGACCACCGAAAGGGUGGCAUCAGCGGUUCGCUCACACUCUCAGCCUGGAAAGCAGGCAGGCGUUCGGGUGGUGCUUGCUAGGUUAGGGCCGCGGCCUUAAGUCGGCCGCAACCUGAGGUCUGGAAGGCCCCGGCCGGCGCUCGGUGAGCUGUGGGGCCCGGCCCGACGCCUUCUCCCGCUAGUUCGACCCGGUCUCUUCACACGGUCUCAGGUCUUUGGAGUCAGGCGAAUGCAAGAGGCCCGGCCAUACAGAGGCGCCAAGGAGGACCGCACCGAGCUCCUCUAGGCUAGUCCAGUUUUAAAAAACGAACCCCCCCCCCUUUUUUUUUCUUUAGCUCCGGCGACAGACCUAGUGCUUCUAUGUGAAUCAGUAUCUUAACCCAUGGUCCUGCCUUAGAACGAACCCAAAUCCUUUCCGGUAUUAUCUGUUUUUAAAAAAGCUUUUGCCUGAUGGUUUUGCAGAAGUAAGGACUAUGAGACAAACGUCUAACUAACGUACUAUUUCUUACCUCUGGAUACAUCAAAGCUGUUUCAGCAGAAUUUUUUGCGUACAGUAAAUGCUCUGCAAGUUUACAAACUAACUUAGGACGUAUGUAAAAUCAUUUGCGGCACAAAUACAUGUUAGUUUUAGGGCCUUGUCACUUAGAGUAGAAAUCAAUAGUUAAGAGAUUGAGAGAACCUGGACAAAUCUCUAAUGUAUAAUUUCUACUACAUUUGAGAACAGAUUUACUUUCUUUAAGGCCUAGCAUAUUAUCAGCACUUAAGUGUUAAGCCGUAAGGAUCUAACUUCCUAACUUUGUUAAACACCAAAGCAGAUAUUAAACAAAAUUGAGCAAAAUAUUAA